GACAGAGGUGCCAAGCGUUAGGCGGAAUCACUGGGCUUAAAGCGUGUGUAGGCGGGUCGUUAAGUACCUUGUGAAAUCCCCCGGCUCAACCGGGGAACGGCUGGGUAUACUGGCGAUCUUGAGCCACCUAGGGGCAGUCGGAACAAGUGGUGGAGCGGUGAAAUGCGUAGAUAUCACUUGGAACGCCAAUGGUGAAAACAGACUGCUGGGGGUGUGCUGACACUGAGACACGAAAGCCAGGGGAGCAAACGGG
rnacentral:rRNA from 1 species